rnacentral:rRNA from 1 species
UACGUAGGGUGCGAGCGUUAAUCGGAAUUACUGGGCGUAAAGCGUGCGCAGGCGGCUUUGCAAGACAGAUGUGAAAUCCCCGGGCUCAACCUGGGAACUGCAUUGGUGACGGCAAGGCUAGAGUACGGCAGAGGGGGAUGGAAUUCCGCGUGUAGCAGUGAAAUGCGUAGAUAUGCGGAGGAACACCAAUGGCGAAGGCAAUCCCCUGGGCCUGUACUGACGCUCAUGCACGAAAGCGUGGGGAGCAAACAGG